CGCUGGCGGCGUGCUUAACACAUGCAAGUCGAACGCUGAAGCCCUUCGGGGGUGGAUGAGUGGCGAACGGGUGAGUAACACGUGGGCAAUCGUGCCCCGCACUCUGGGAUAAGCCUUGGAAACGAGGUCUAAUACCGGAUAGGACAUGCCAUCGCAUGGUGGUGUGUGGAAAGUUCCGGCGGUGUGGGAUGAGCCCGCGGCCUAUCAGCUUGUUGGUGGGGUGAUGGCCUACCAAGGCGAUGACGGGUAGCCGGCCUGAGAGGGUGACCGGCCACACUGGGACUGAGACACGGCCCAGACUCCUACGGGAGGCAGCAGUGGGGAAUCUUGCGCAAUGGGCGAAAGCCUGACGCAAGCAACGCCGCGUGGGGGAUGACGGCCUUCGGGUUGUAAACCUCUUUCGACACUGAUGAAGCCUCAUUUUUUGGGUGGGGUGACGGUAGGUGUAGAAGAAGCACCGGCUAACUACGUGCCAGCCGCCGC
rnacentral:rRNA from 1 species